rnacentral:rRNA from 1 species
GACGAACGCUGGCGGCGUGCUUAACACAUGCAAGUCGAACGGAAAGGCCCUGCUUUUGUGGGGUGCUCGAGUGGCGAACGGGUGAGUAACACGUGAGUAACCUGCCCUUGACUUUGGGAUAACUUCAGGAAACUGGGGCUAAUACCGGAUAGGAGCUCCUGCUGCAUGGUGGGGGUUGGAAAGUUUCGGCGGUUGGGGAUGGACUCGCGGCUUAUCAGCUUGUUGGUGGGGUAGUGGCUUACCAAGGCUUUGACGGGUAGCCGGCCUGAGAGGGUGACCGGCCACAUUGGGACUGAGAUACGGCCCAGACUCCUACGGGAGGCAGCAGUGGGGAAUAUGGCACAAUGGGCGGAAGCCUGAUGCAGCAACGCCGCGUGCGGGAUGACGGCCUUCGGGUGGUAAACCGCUUUCGCCUGUGACGAAGCGUGAGUGACGGUAAUGGGUAAAGAAGCACCGGCUACUACGUG